GUCGCUAUAGCUCAGCUGGGAGAGUGAGUGCAAACCGCAUCUGUGGGCAAAUGAAAACAUCUGCUAACACAGCUUCUAGGCGCCAGACUGAAGUCCUACUUCGGUCCAGGUUAUCUGGAGGUCCUGUGUUCAAUCCACAGUGGCGACA